GCAAGUGCAGCAGAGUGCAUGUUACCAGUUUUUUUGUUGGUGCUUGACUGGCAAGAGCUUUAAGGAUAAUACUCCUUUUUUUUUUUUUUUUUUUUAAAUGGGAAGUUAGUAUGUAACCACCCAUCAUGUACUAAGUGUAGCAUUGCCGUCUUGGCGGCCACAUGCCUUGCGUGAGUUCUUUCUUCCCAACCAGUGGGAGGUGAGGGGGGCGGUUGACAAGCUAUAUGGACUCCCUCAUAGUCUUAACUGGCCUACUCGUAGCCAGCCGAUCUGAGGCCUGGGGAGCACAGAGAUAGGUCCAGGAUUGAGCUGUUUAGCAGAGAAUACAUAGCCUGUAGCAACUGUGGGCCACUCAAGCAUCAACCCCAGUUUCACAGCGGUUCUGGUUAUUAUAGGCCUCCUGAGGACACAGAGGAAUACAGGCACUGCCUUUUCUUUGGCAACAGCAGCUUCCAGUCUUGGCACCCUUCCCUUCCCCUCCCCUUCCCCUCUCCUUUCCUUUCCUCCCCUUCCCCUCUCCUCCCCUCCCCUCCCCUCCUCUCCCCUCCUUUCCCCUCCUCUCCCCUCCUCUCCCCUCCUCUCCCCUCCUCUCCCCUCCUCUCCCCUCCUCUCCCCUCCUCUCUUCUUCUCUCCUCUUCUCUCCUACAGUCUUACUCUGUCUGCCCAGUCUGGAGUGCAG
rnacentral:lncRNA from 10 species